rnacentral:rRNA from 1 species
UACGUAGGGUGCAGGCGUUAAUCGGAAUUACUGGGCGUAAAGAGCGCGCAGGCGGUCGUUCAAGUCGCGUGUGAAAGCCCCCGGCUCAACUGGGGAGGGUCACGCGAUACUGAUCGACUCGAAGGCAGGAGAGGGAAGUGGAAUUCCCGGUGUAGUGGUGAAAUGCGUAGAUAUCGGGAGGAACACCAGUGGCGAAGGCGACUUCCUGGCCUGUUCUUGACGCUGAGGCGCGAAAGCUAGGGGAGCAAACGGG